CUCUCUGCGGAAGCCAGCCACCGCUCUCCAAGGACUCUCGAGCAGCUCCAUCUACAGAUUCACAUGGAGAAGAAUUAAGGGUUCCUGCCAAUCACCAGCACCACUUUGCCAGCCUUGUAAGUGGGCCACCUUGGAAUUGGAGCCUCCAGUUCCUACUGACAUCUGACUGCAACAUCAUGAGAGACCCUGAGUUUGAACCACCCAGCUGAGCUGCUUCUGAGCUAACCCACUGAAACCAGUCUUGCUCUGUCACCCAGGCUAGAGUGCAAUGGCAUAAUCUCAGCUCACUGCAACAUCUGCCUCCCAGGUUCAAGCAAUUCUCCUGCCUCAGCCUCCCAAGAAGGUGAAAGUACCUGAAUGAAACAACACCCAGUAGCCACUAGCACACCUAGCUCCCAGAUCUGUUUUUGAUGCCAUUCUUCAGUAAAAGGAAGCAAGGCUGCUUGGAGAAAUUGCUAUCAAGGACUGGGGUAGAAAAUAUACAAGAUGAAAUUGGAGCAUCUUGUAGUGCUUGAAAACAGUUGGCAUCUGUGUGAAGAUGUGAAUGGAGGAGGCAGAGUAGGCAGUGAGUGCCGCAGCCACAGCUUGUGUUCUCUGCAGCCCUGGCACAGAAGAUAGGAACACUCAUGGGGGAUGCG
rnacentral:lncRNA from 10 species